UACGGAGGGUGCAAGCGUUAUCCGGAUUCACUGGGUUUAAAGGGUGCGUAGGUGGGUCUGUAAGUCCGUGGUGAAAUCUCCGAGCUUAACUUGGAAACUGCCAUGGAUACUAUAGGUCUUGAAUACUGUGGAGGUCAGCGGAAUAUGUCAUGUAGCGGUGAAAUGCUUAGAUAUGACAUAGAACACCAAUUGCGAAGGCAGCUGGCUACACAGAGAUUGACGCUGAGGCACGAAAGCGUGGGGAUCAAACAGG
rnacentral:rRNA from 1 species